UAGCCUAGUGGUUAAGGCUAUGGAUCGCCAAUCCGGAGACGGCGGGUUCAAUUCCUGU
rfam:Aedes albopictus isolate Foshan contig138968, whole genome shotgun sequence.